rnacentral:rRNA from 1 species
GCAGCAGUGGGGAAUAUUGCGCAAUGGGGGAAACCCUGACGCAGCAACGCCGCGUGAGCGAAGAAGGCUUUCGGGUCGUAAAGCUCUGUCAUCGGGGAAGAAGUCUCUUAACCUAAUAAGUUAAGAGGUGACGGUACCCGAGGAGGAAGCCACGGCUAACUACGUGCCAGCAGCCGCGGUAACACGUAGGUGGCAAGCGUUGUCCGGAAUUACUGGGCGUAAAGGGCACGCAGGCGGUUAAGUAAGUCAGGAGUGAAAGCCCCGGGCUCAACCCGGGGACUGCUUUUGAAACUGCAUAACUUGAGAGCAGGAGAGGUAAGUGGAAUUCCUAGUGUAGCGGUGAAAUGCGUAGAUAUUAGGAGGAACACCAGUGGCGAAGGCGACUUACUGGCCUGACUCUGACGCUGAGGUGCGAAAGCGUGGGGAGCGAACAGGAUUAGAUACCCUGGUAGUCCACGCCGUAAACGCUGGGUACUAGGUGUUGGGGGGUAGAACCCUUCAGUGCUGCAGCAAACGCAUUAAGUACCCCGCCUGGGGACUACGGCCGCAAGGCUAAAACUCAAAAGAAUUGACGGGGGCCCGCACAAGCGGUGGAGCAUGUGGUUUAAUUCGACGCAACGCGAAGAACCUUACCAGGGCUUGACAUCCCGUGACGUUUAUAGAAAUAUAAAUUUCCUUCGGGACACGGAGACAGGUGGUGCAUGGUUGUCGUCAGCUCGUGUCGUGAGAUGUUGGGUUAAGUCCCGCAACGAGCGCAACCCUUAUCGUAUGUUACCAGCACCUAGGGUGGGGACUCAUACGAGACUGCCGGUGAUAAACCGGAGGAAGGUGGGGAUGACGUCAAAUCAUCAUGCCCCUUAUGCUCUGGGCUACACACGUGCUACAAUGGCCGAUACAGAGGGCAGCGAAGCCGCGAGGUGGAGCAAAUCUUAUAAAGUCGGUCCAAGUUCGGAUUGCAGGCUGCAACUCGCCUGCAUGAAGUCGGAAUCGCUAGUAAUCGCAGGUCAGCAUACUGCGGUGAAUACGUUCCCGGGCCUUGUACACACCGCCCGUCACACCACGAAAGUUGGCAACACCCGAAGCCGGGAAUGAAAAUUUGUCGAAG